rnacentral:rRNA from 1 species
GACGAACGCUGGCGGCGUGCCUAAUACAUGCAAGUCGAACGCAGUGGGGACGGGUGAGUAACACGUGGGUAACCUCCCAUCAGAGGGGAUAACACUUGGAAACAGGUGCUAAACCGAUAAGGAUGGAAGGACCCGGUGUGCAUUAGCUAGUUGGUGAUGUAACGGCUCACCAAGGCCACGAUGCAUAGCCGCCCUGAGAGGUGGAUGGGCCACCCUGUGACUCAGACACGGCCCAGACUCCUACGGUAGGCAGCAGUAGGGAAUCUUCGGCAAUGGACGAAAGUCUGACCGAGCAACGCCGCGUGAGUGAAGAAGGUUUUCGGAUCGUAAAACUCUGUUGUUAGAGAAGCGGUAUCUAACCAGAAAGCCACGGCUAACUACGUGCCAGCAGCCGCGGUAAUUG